GUGCCAGCAGCCGCGGUAAUACGAGAGACCCGAACGUUAUUCGGAAUUACUGGGCUUACAGAGUUCGUAGGCGGCUCAGAAAGUUGGGUGUGAAAUCCCUCGGCCCAACCGAGGAAUUGCGCUCAAAACUACUGAGCUUGAGGGGUAUAGAGGUAAGCGGAACUGAUGGUGGAGCGGUGAAAUGCGUUGAUAUCAUCAGGAACACCGGUGGCGAAGGCGGCUUACUGGGUACCUCCUGACGCUGAGGAACGAAAGCUAGGGGAGCGAACGGGAUUAGAAACCCCAGUAGUCC
rnacentral:rRNA from 1 species